rnacentral:piRNA from 1 species
UGGGCAAAUGAUUUGAAUGUU